rnacentral:rRNA from 1 species
UACGGAGGAUGCAAGCGUUAUCCGGAAUGAUUGGGCGUAAAGCGUCCACAGGUGGCAAUGUAAGUCUGCUGUCAAAGCGUCUGGCUCAACCAGAUAAAGGCAGUGGAAACUACAUAGCUAGAGUAAGGUAGGGGUAGAGGGAAUUCCUGGUGUAGCGGUGAAAUGCGUAGAGAUCAGGAAGAACACCGGUGGCGAAAGCGCUCUGCUAGGCCGCAACUGACACUGAGGGACGAAAGCUAGGGGAGCGAAUGGG